UAAGUAAUAUGUAAUGGAACAUCUUAUUCAACCAUAGAGACCCGGUAAGGAUCUGUGGGCUGCAGAAGACGGUUGGCCUGCUGCCUGUCCCCCCUCACCCUGACCCAGGGGAAGGCAGAGCGGAGGAGGCGGUGGGUCGGUGGGUCUCCAUGGUGAACCGCCACACAGGAGAGUGGAACAACCUGGAGAGCACCACACUAGUAGACACCUGUUUAGACUGUGGUAGACACAAGUCAACCUGGGGUUUCAGGAGCUUUUUCAGUGCUCCUCCAGCUGCUUUGAUCUGAACAUGAACCUUCCUGUGAACCACCACCGCUACCUGGCUCUAACUCAAUGCCUCCUGCUAUAUCUCAGUGUUUGAUGACUGUAUGGAUAGAUACUGUGUGGGACAGCACUGGUGUCCAUGGGGGACAACUUGAGCAACUUGAGAUACCUGAGUCAGAAGCUGGGAGAUGACUGCUCUAAGGGAGAAGCCAGAACCCACCUGAGGAGCUGAGGAGGCAGACAGACAGCAUCCACAAGCUGGGGGAGCUUCUGUCCCUGCAGCCAAGAAGCCUUGCCGGGAGGGACAGGAGGGGACUAGGGGAGUAGUCAGAGAAGGACCAAGCGAAGCAAAGCCCAGUACUCCAUGGGACCCUCAUUGCUACUCUCUUCAAAAGGGCUACAUCAGGCAAAUCUGGCAAAAGAGAACAAAAACAUGGAAGUAUGACAUGGAGGUAAGACUGCUUUACUGUGAUUUGGCAUUGAUGUUAACCCCCCCCGUCUCCUCCUGUGUGUGGGUCCAAAGGCAAGACAGAAAGAUGAGGGUACCCCUUUAAAACUAAAAUCAAUACUAAACUCACAUUAAAUCACCAUUGUUAUUGAUUGAAGCUGAGAAUUUAUUGUUUUCCUGUUGUAGCCCCAUCCGUACCUUUUUUAUGAUCUGUGGGCAGACUUUGGAGCGUCUUGUAAAACUUUUCCCUGGAGAGCAGUGUCAGGGUGCUCUCCCACACCAGCUGACCGCAGCGGGACGUGGCUGACAUAAAGACGUCCACCUCUGCUCCGCUUCUGACCGUCCGGUACUCCAGGACCCGGGCGUGCAGUGUGAACCGGCCCUUAGUCAACUCAUCAAUGGGCUGCAGAGUUCUCAGGGUCUGCCGCACACGCACCAGACCU
ensembl:lncRNA